GACGAACGCUGGCGGCGUGCUUAACACAUGCAAGUCGAACGGAAAGGCCCUGCUUUUGUGGGGUGCUCGAGUGGCGAACGGGUGAGUAACACGUGAGUAACCUGCCCUUGACUUUGGGAUAACUUCAGGAAACUGGGGCUAAUACCGGAUAGGAGCUCCUGCUGCAUGGUGGGGGUUGGAAAGUUUCGGCGGUUGGGGAUGGACUCGCGGCUUAUCCGCUUGUUGGGGGGGUAGUGGCUGACCAAGGGUUUGACGGGUAGCCGGCCUGGGAGGUUGGCCGGCGACAUGGGGCCUACGAGACGGCGCAGACUGCUACGGGAGGCAGCAGGGGGGAAUAUUGCACAGUGGGCGGAAGCCUGAGGCGGCAGCGCCGCGUGCGGGAUGACGUCCUUCGGGUUGUAAACCGCUGUCGCCUGUGACGAAGCGUGAUUGACGGUAAUGGGUAAAGAAGCACCGGCUAACUACGUG
rnacentral:rRNA from 1 species